GUUAGCUUAUCUUUUUACACCUUAGUAUAAGAUGUACUCAGAUUUUUGGUGUCUGUAGGGCUAGUUAAA
rnacentral:tRNA from 1 species